UACUCUUUCCUUCAUAAAUUUUGAUGUAAAUAUUUUUUGAAUAGAUUUUUUAAUUUAAUUUAAUUUGAAGUCGAUUGACUUAAUUUUAUUGUAUAUAUAUAUAUAUGUAUAUUCUACAUUAAGAGAUUGCAACCAAUCACUUUGUUUCGUUUCCCGCGUGAAUUUUCUAUAGUAUCGCCAUCUCACGACUUUUAUCAAUAAUUUUUAUUGUUUCUAAAGAAGACGCCAUUACAAGUUCCGCUUUUGGCGCGUAAUAUUAUUUGCUCUUCAAGCAAUUGUUUUGCCAAACAAUUCCGGAUUUGUUGCAAAAAUUUUCGAGUAUUUAUGAAAUGUGAUACAGUUUAUUUACUAAAAGACAUAUCUCAUCCUUCAGUAACACAAUAUAAUCCCUAAAACCAGUUAUAUUGCAUUUAGAAUAUUCGUCAAUGUUCAGUGUAGAGAUACGAAUUUUAUAAUAUUUGUAAACAAUAUUUUACGCUUUUCCAGACAUCGUUUUAAUAUGUAAUUUUAUGACAGCAGCAAACAGCAGUACUUUGCAAAACAAACACUCGGUAAGAGGAAGAAGGAAAACAUGUAAACAUAUUUUGCUUCUUUCCCUACAGCCCCCCUUCUCCUAACACAGUUUUAAUUUCAGAAAAUGUUUUUGUGAUCGCGUGCAAUGCGAUUAGUAGAGUCAUUGUUUGUUUCGUAAUUGUAAUUUCAAUAUUUCUUAGAGCAAAAUAGCUCUUAUUAGUACUAAUUGUAGUAGUUAUACGCGAAAUUAGAGUCAAUGUUUGUUCGUCGGAUUAUUUAUCGGGCGCGUUGGUAAUUUUUUAUUUCUCUUUUUGUAUAUAGUUUAUUUUUUUUAAAUAUUCGUUUUCGGUAUUCGAGUCAGUGCUCAAGAGGAUAAAACCCCUCCCGGAGGCUAGCAAUCUUUUCCACGAUCUGCACUUCCUCUUGUUCUCUGGAUAGGAUCUUAUGGUGUUUCAAAAGCUAGAAAUAUAUUUCACAACCUGUACUUCUACCGUAAGGUUUGAUGAUUCUUCCGGGAUGGCGGCCUUCACGGUGGUUUCCUCUGAGCUACGUCAACAUUGUCGACAUCGUUCUUCGUAUGUAACUGUGAGUCGCAUGCUUUUUGUUCCUCUGGUCACUCAAUCAUGUCGUAGGAUGAAAGGUCCGAAUCGACACGAGUGACUGGUUGUAUCACGUAGAAUUUUUUACGAGCAUAGUGACUGCGAGUAUUUAUUAUACCCGUGAGUGGUAAUACAUAUUUCCUUUUUAUGUGUUUUAUUUAUUAGUUCAGGAUAGGUCUUCUUGCACAUCGCAUUUUUUAUUAACACGAAUAAUGUUUUAGUAAUUGAUUAAUUAAUUAUGAAUGAUCAUGAAUGAAGUCAAAUAUAUUCGUAUGGAUAUAAGUACGCGUAUAAAUAAAAUGAAUGAAUAUUUGAAUACAUAAUAAAUGUUGAAAUUACUUGAAUUAAUUAUUUUACGACGGAGAAGUACAAUAUCCUACGACUUUGUCAUAAAAAGAUUAUAUAUAAUUUGUUUAUAAAAGUAUUAAAGUCCACUUCUUUCCGUACAAAAAUGUAUUUUUUAUGUGCAAGAAGAAAUUUCGCGGCAGGCAGAUUUCGGAAUCAAAGCAACAAGUUUUGAACACUUUUUCGUGAUUACGAAAAUAUGCUUUGACGAAGAGAUCGCCUGAGAUUACUUAACAUUAAUGUUUAAACUGCAGUCUAUUAUUAUAUUGCUUUGAGUUUUAGUGUUCUCUUUCAUAAAUAAAUUCUAUGUUCUUUGCCUAGUUUUUUUACAAUAGUAGAAUUUAAAUAAUUUAUUAAACUAUUAAAUUCAGUAAAUUAACAUAGAUUCACAAUAAUUUCAAAUAUAAUGAAUAAAUACAAAAUGAAAGAAUAGUAGUCCGUUAGAUGCAUACAAAGCAGAUAUACUAAUCAUCUUUUAGAUCAGGAUUUUCAGGUUUAACCCUUUCCGUAUCCAUUGCCAGGAUCUCAUUCACGUACCCAGGUGCUACGUGGGUGAAGGAAAGACGAUGGGUACGAUGACCAUAAACUUAAUAAUUUGUUAGCGACUGACGACAAUUGGUGUAUCGUGCGCGACGUAAUUUCCACAUUGUAUGUGUGUGUGUGUGGUUAGGCUGUGGAUUUGCGUCGUCAUUUCAAUUAUUAAUAUUCAAUUUAUACAAUAUACAUAAUAUAGAUAUACAAAUAUACGUAAUAUAAAAUGUACAAACAUAGACGAUAAUACCCUUCAUUCUACUAUUAUAACAUUCAAAUAACAAAGUGAUGGUACCAAAUUUCGUAUCAUUUGUUUAAAUGGCGUCACUUCUUUAGAAAAUGUAAUGCAUGUAUUUCUUCAAUUGUAAACUUAUUUGUAAUUAAAUUAGAAUGUAUUUAUAUCGCAUUCUGCGCAAUGGUCGCUAGUUAUCGUCAGUCGAUUUCAGGAAAACGGUACGUAAAUUAGAGUGUGAAAGUCGAAUGCCAAACUCGGGUGUCGGAGGCGUCCCGGGACGUUCUCUCUAGUGUAGGCUCUUGCACCCGGGUGUUAUAUGUGAGAACCGUAGAGUGAGUGUGUUGGUAUGUCUGUUUUGCCACUUUUUAAAUAUAGGGCUAGGUAGGAUAGGUAGUAUACUUUCUGGUAUGAGUGUUAAUCCUAAGUAGGUAGAGCUGGGCAGGUUGGCACAGUCUCUGGUCGGGUAGGCGCGUUUUCGUGUGUCCAACCUGUUUCAGGAAAUCUAAUUUGAAAAAUCGUCAGUAAAACUAGAACUAGUGGAGAAUGCCACUCGUUUAUGGUUUUGUCUAUCGGUUUUUUGAACUGCGCGGUCGUGGUCGCGAGUGGGUCUCGGUACGCACGUUUAUGUAUCGCUCGAGCACGCACAUGCGAAUGGGCAACCAUCACCGCUGUGAUCGUUGGUCAGUGCAUGUGCACUUUGAAUCAGCUUCCGCGGUUUAUAUUUUUAUUUCACCUUUAUAAGUUUUUUUUUUUGUUUGCGACUUAGAAGUCUCGAGUUUAGAUUUAAGUUUCAGCGGGCAUUGUGCCUGAAGAAAGAAGAGGCUAUAAGCCGAAGAGGCCCGGCAAACUGCCAUUCAAGAGGGCAACUACUAAUGGCUCUCUAUCCUCUGGAUCAUCCAGAGCAUGGAAAGUCAUUCGUAUUACCACUUUGUCACUAUGCUCCUCUUUAGUAUUUGUAGUAGUAUGUAGUUCUCUUCUGGCCAAUUUAUAUAUCAGCUCAUCAUUACAUUGGGCAAAUCGCGGUUUUUUCUUAGUGUUGCGAAUGAUUAAUACCGGUUUGAAUUAGAGUUGCGAAGUAGUUGAAGUUUCGCGUUGCAAAUUAGAGUUGCGAAAAAAUGUGAAUUUCGCGUUUUGAAUCAGAGUUGCGAGAAAACAGUGACUACGGUUUGAAUUAGCGUUGCGAUGAAAUUACGAUCGUGUUUGCUGUAGUAUUGCGAAUUAUAAUAGUUCGCGUGAUUGUUCUUAGCAUUUCUUAUUAUCAAUUAUUAGAAUUUCUUAAGUAUUAUACCAGAAUACUUAUCGUGUUCUCUUUUAUUUGAACAAUAUCAAUUGUCUGUUUUAUAAUUGAAUUUAAUCAAUUAGUGUUGCGAAACAGAAAAGUUGUUCCACUCACGGGUUGUUCGGGUCUACAUCGAGUGGAUGGUCCUUCACUUCAGGCCAGCGAUUUCUUUUUCAGCAUCCCCUAAUCCCAGAGCGUUUGCUUUUGAAAAUACUGCCGAUAAACUUAUCUAUUUGAUAUUUAUAAACAUUUUUAAAUUUGGUAUAGUACUAUUAUAUGAUUUUGAAAUAAUUUUAUUAACUAUUUACUUAAUACUUAAAUAUACAAGUCUGAGUGACAUCGAGACUCGAGAAGUCAUUGAAUAUAUUAAAAGCUUAGUUUUAUGUAAAGCUGUUUAGUUUAGUAAUUUUCUUUUAGUAAUUUUUUUUAAGAUUUUAAUCUUCUUUCAUCUUAGUAUUUGGGUCAAAAUUUCAAUUUUUGAUUAAAUUCAACUUCAAAUUGCUUUGCAUUUAGAACAAUAGUUUGAUAAUCUGAUCUUUUUUCGUGCUUCCUCCCUACCGUUUGAUGUAUUAAUAAAUUAGCUUGUUAUAGAUUUCUCGAAUUUUAAGAAAUAUCGUCAAGAUUCGUAUAAGUACCCCUCAGAGACUUAUUUCAAUAACAUGGAAAUCAUCGUGAAAUCACCAGAAGAAGAUUUAUAAACCAUAUAAUAUUCCCUUCUUCUUCCCUAACUUUUUAGUUAGGUUGGAUCCACAAAUCUUUAAAUUUUUAUAUAGUCAGGUUAAUUUAAAUUUACAAUUAGACAAGACGUGUCUUUAAAUUGAAUAAAAGUUAUGACUACGAUGAUUAGAAAGUUAGGCUAUUCUUAAGUCAGGCCAGGUUUAUCAUUAUAGGUUGUAGGUAGUUAGUAGAAAAGUAAUGGUAGAAAGUACUGCUUCCUAGUAUUGUUAGCGCUUGCUUAUGUAAGUAUGCUAGUAUUUAAUACAUGUAUCAUUAAUCCUCAAUUGGUGAAAAUCGUAUUUAACUGCCAACAAUUUAACAUAUUGACUAUUUAUUUGUGUUGCGUAUUUUACAUAAUAAAACAUCCUUAUCACAUAAAAUGCAGAAUAUACAUUGAAAUAAAAUUUUCUAAAAUCAAACAAUUUUAUUCUAACUUAUUCCGAAUCACUUCCAACCCAACGAUGCUAAUUGAGGAUUAAAAGUAAUAAGGUGGAUACGUAGGAAAUGGUCAAUCGAACUUUCAUUGUCAUGAAAAUGUACAAUAUUUGAUAUGAUCACGAAAUAGCGUCUCAUAUUGAAUUACACAGCUGGUUUAAGAUUUAAUUUAUUUUUAUUUUCAAGAUUAGCAUUUCGCGUCGCUUUUGCUUAAAACUCCUUUUGUUGUUUGUUUCGCAUAACAAUCAAGGAAUUGAUCGUUUUGCACACCAAGAGGAGAAUUUUUCUUAUAAAUUCAUGUUUUAAACAAAUAAAUUUUUGUACGUGAAAGGAGGGUGGAUAGGAUCGUGGAUAGGGUGGCUCUCCACUCGCAGCAACCUCCACGUCGUUGAGACUCGGGCAAUCGAAGAGGUGAGAAACGGAGAGACACAAAGGGAAGAAGGAGGGGAGCAAGUAAGUUGGACUGGAGACCAAAUAGUAGAAGAAAGAAGGAGGAGAGAAACAGAAGAGAGGA